CACUAAGCAGUAGUGAACUAUGAAUGGGGGUGGUGCCUCUCAUCUUGGUUUCAGGUCAGGGAAAAUGAAACUUAAAUCCUCAGCAUCACAAUAUCAUCAACGGAGGCAGCAGAGACAGACAGGACAAAGUCACAGACACCCUCUUCAUUGAGUUUAAUUGAGUUCAGGAUAAACAACAGAGGAAAGUACAACAAAAUGAUGACUUCAGCUCCUGAUAAGCCAGAUUGUGGGCCGAUGGUGGUUACUGUUGGAUUCUUGACGUUGGUCAUUGGAAUCGCUGUUGGAGUGAAACUGAAGGUGGCCACAGACCAGUUCAUUCAACAACAUCAAUGGAAGAUCAUUGCCUUUGUAACUGUUUUUAUUGUUGUUUGUAUCAUGGUGCUUCUGAUCUUGAAGAAACAGGAAGUAUAGAGGGAUAUUUAAGGAAUGACCCAUACAAUUAGCAAACACUUCUCAGUCAGUCAAACACAACUCCCUCUGGAUAAGAACAUCUGCUAAAUGACUGAACUGUAAACAACAUUUGGAUAAAAGUGAUUCAUAGUAGGUUAGAUGUAUUUGUCUAAGAUUGUAUUUGUCAUCCUAUUUUAAUGUGACCAAGAUCCCUUUCCAUCUCUGACCAUCUGUGUGUGUGCAAAAGGAUCUGGUCAGAGCUGCACAGAGUACUCCUGUGUUUCAGAGACCUACAGUGGUGACUCAUCAUAAAGCCACAUACUACAUUCCAUAUUGGCCCCUAUAUAUCUGAUAUGAUUUAGCUCUUUAACUGGUUUAAUUAAAAACCACUAUCUCAAUUAGAACAUGUACAUUCUUUUGGGAAAUCAGAGAUCAGUAAAUCAUAGGAGGAACUA